rnacentral:rRNA from 1 species
AAAUUUUUAGCUGGAUGGUCUAUGUCAGUCCUUGCACAGCGAAAGGUGCUUGCACCUUUCAAGUGAGUGGCGAACGGGUGAGUAACACGUGGACAACCUGCCUCAAGGCUGGGGAUAACAUUUGGAAACAGAUGCUAAUACCGAAUAAAACUUAGUUUCGCAUGACACAAAGUUAAAAGGCGCUUCGGCGUCACCUAGAGAUGGAUCCGCGGUGCAUUAGUUAGUUGGUGGGGUAAAGGCCUACCAAGACAAUGAUGCAUAGCCGAGUUGAGAGACUGAUCGGCCACAUUGGGACUGAGACACGGCCCAAACUCCUACGGGAGGCUGCAGUAGGGAAUCUUCCACAAUGGGCGAAAGCCUGAUGGAGCAACGCCGCGUGUGUGAUGAAGGCUUUCGGGUCGUAAAGCACUGUUGUAUGGGAAGAACAGCUAGAAUAGGAAAUGAUUUUAGUUUGACGGUACCAUACCAGAAAGGGACGGCUAAAUACGUGCCAGCAGCCGCGGUAAUACGUAUGUCCCGAGCGUUAUCCGGAUUUAUUGGGCGUAAAGCGAGCGCAGACGGUUUAUUAAGUCUGAUGUGAAAGCCCGGAGCUCAACUCCGGAAUGGCAUUGGAAACUGGUUAACUUGAGUGCAGUAGAGGUAAGUGGAACUCCAUGUGUAGCGGUGGAAUGCGUAGAUAUAUGGAAGAACACCAGUGGCGAAGGCGGCUUACUGGACUGCAACUGACGUUGAGGCUCGAAAGUGUGGGUAGCAAACAGGAUUAGAUACCCUGGUAGUCCACACCGUAAACGAUGAACACUAGGUGUUAGGAGGUUUCCGCCUCUUAGUGCCGAAGCUAACGCAUUAAGUGUUCCGCCUGGGGAGUACGACCGCAAGGUUGAAACUCAAAGGAAUUGACGGGGACCCGCACAAGCGGUGGAGCAUGUGGUUUAAUUCGAAGCAACGCGAAGAACCUUACCAGGUCUUGACAUCCUUUGAAGCUUUUAGAGAUAGAAGUGUUCUCUUCGGAGACAAAGUGACAGGUGGUGCAUGGUCGUCGUCAGCUCGUGUCGUGAGAUGUUGGGUUAAGUCCCGCAACGAGCGCAACCCUUAUUGUUAGUUGCCAGCAUUCAGAUGGGCACUCUAGCGAGACUGCCGGUGACAAACCGGAGGAAGGCGGGGACGACGUCAGAUCAUCAUGCCCCUUAUGACCUGGGCUACACACGUGCUACAAUGGCGUAUACAACGAGUUGCCAACCCGCGAGGGUGAGCUAAUCUCUUAAAGUACGUCUCAGUUCGGAUUGUAGUCUGCAACUCGACUACAUGAAGUCGGAAUCGCUAGUAAUCGCGGAUCAGCACGCCGCGGUGAAUACGUUCCCGGGUCUUGUACACACCGCCCGUCACACCAUGGGAGUUUGUAAUGCCCAAAGCCGGUGGCCUAACCUUUUAGGAAGGAGCCGUCUAAGGCAGGACUAGAGUACGUAGGUAGACUCCGAGCACAAUAGCACCGUAG